UAAAACAAGACUACUCGCCAGAGUACUAUCGGCAACAGCCCAAAACUCAAAGGACUUGGCGGUGCUUCAUAUCCUUCUAGAGGAGCCUGUUCUGUAAACGAUAAACCACGAUUAACCUCACCAAUCCUUGCUACUUCAGUCUAUAUACCGCCAUCUUCAGCAAACCCUAAAAAGGAAUGAAAGUAAGCACAACUAUUGCACGUAAAAACGUUAGGUCAAGGUGUAACCUAUGGAUUGGGAAGAAAUGGGCUACAUUUUCUAUAAUAAGAACACCCCUUAAACUUACACGAAAGUUUUUAUGAAAUCUAAAAACUAAAGGAGGAUUUAGCAGUAAAUUAAGAACAGAAUGCUUAAUUGAAUAAGGCCAUGAAGCACGCACACACCGCCCGUA
rnacentral:rRNA from 1 species